rnacentral:tRNA from 1 species
GCCGCGGUAGCUCAGUGGUAGAGCUCUGGUCUGAAAAACCAGGAGUGGUUGGUUCGAUUCCAACCCGCGGCA